UCAGUUUGAGUUUCUGAGCUUCUGAAGUAAGCCAGGCUACUUCGCCUGGAUGUCCGUGGGUGGAAAUCACUUCACGCGACAAGGGAUCUUCCGUUUGUGAACUCUACUUUACAUCAGCAGGCCUCUGCACCUACAGAUAUAAACCACACAAAUAUGCUUUGCAUCCAGAGAGAGGUGAUGGGUUCAGGGGCUACUGCUCCUCGUCUU